rnacentral:rRNA from 1 species
GUGAGGAAUUUUCCGCAAUGGGCGAAAGCCUGACGGAGCAAUGCCGCGUGAAGGAUGAAGGCCUAUGGGUUGUAAACUUCUUUUCUCAGAAAAGAAUUAUGACGGUAUCUGAGGAAUAAGCAUCGGCUAACUCUGUGCCAGCAGCCGCGGUAAGACAGAGGAUGCAAGCGUUAUCCGGAAUGAUUGGGCGUAAAGCGUCUGUAGGUUGUUUAAAAAGUAUUCUGUCAAAGAUUAGGGCUUAACCCUAGAUAGGCAGAAUAAACUUUUAAGCUAGAGUUUGGUAGAGGCAGAGGGAAUUCCAGGUGGAGCGGUGAAAUGCGUAGAUAUCGGGAGGAACACCAAAGGCGAAGGCACUCUGCUGGGCCAAUACUAACACUGAGAGACGAAAGCGAGGGGAGCAAAUGGGAUUAGAAACCCUUGUAGUCC